GGCCCUUCGGGGUACACGAGCGGCGAACGGGUGAGUAACACGUGGGUGAUCUGCCUUGCACUUCGGGAUAAGCCUGGGAAACUGGGUCUAAUACCGGAUAUGACCACUGAUCGCAUGGUUGGUGGUGGAAAGAUUUAUCGGUGCGAGAUGGGCCCGCGGCCUAUCAGCUUGUUGGUGAGGUAACGGCUCACCAAGGCGACGACGGGUAGCCGACCUGAGAGGGUGACCGGCCACACUGGGACUGAGACACGGCCCAGACUCCUACGGGAGGCAGCAGUGGGGAAUAUUGCACAAUGGGCGAAAGCCUGAUGCAGCGACGCCGCGUGCGGGAUGACGGCCUUCGGGUUGUAAACCGCUUUUGACAGGGACGAAGCGCAAGUGACUGUACCUGUAGAAUAAGGACCGGCCAACUACGUGCCAGCAGCCGCGGUAAUACGUAGGGUCCGAGCGUUGUCCGGAAUUACUGGGCGUAAAGAGCUUGUAGGCGGUUCGUCGCGUCGUUUGUGAAAACUUGGGGCUCAACCUUAAGCUUGCAGGCGAUACGGGCGGACUAGAGUACUUCAGGGGAGACUGGAAUUCCUGGUGUAGCGGUGAAAUGCGCAGAUAUCAGGAGGAACACCGGUGGCGAAGGCGGGUCUCUGGGAAGUAACUGACGCUGAGAAGCGAAAGCAUGGGUAGCAAACAGGAUUAGAUACCCUGGUAGUCCAUGCCGUAAACGGUGGGUACUAGGUGUGGGGCUCCUUCCACGGACUCCGUGCCGUAGCUAACGCAUUAAGUACCCCGCCUGGGGAGUACGGCCGCAAGGCUAAAACUCAAAGAAAUUGACGGGGGCCCGCACAAGCGGCGGAGCAUGUGGAUUAAUUCGAUGCAACGCGAAGAACCUUACCUGGGUUUGACAUACACCGGAAACCUGCAGAGAUGUAGGCCCCCUUGUGGUCGGUGUACAGGUGGUGCAUGGCUGUCGUCAGCUCGUGUCGUGAGAUGUUGGGUUAAGUCCCGCAACGAGCGCAACCCUUAUCUUAUGUUGCCAGCGCGUAAUGGCGGGGACUCGUGAGAGACUGCCGGGGUCAACUCGGAGGAAGGUGGGGACGACGUCAAGUCAUCAUGCCCCUUAUGUCCAGGGCUUCACACAUGCUACAAUGGCCGGUACAGAGGGCUGCGAUACCGCGAGGUGGAGCGAAUCCCUUAAAGCCGGUCUCAGUUCGGAUCGGGGUCUGCAACUCGACCCCGUGAAGUUGGAGUCGCUAGUAAUCGCAGAUCAGCAACGCUGCGGUGAAUACGUUCCCGGGCCUUGUACACACCGCCCGUCACGUCAUGAAAGUCGGUAACACCCGAAGCCGGUGGCCUAACCCCUUGUGGGAGGGAGCCGU
rnacentral:rRNA from 1 species